CUUAGGGAAGUGAUGGUAGUUGCAGGGUAUGAACCAGACGACCAUGCAGAGACCAACGAGCCGACCAAACAGUCCAUCGUGCAUACCACAUAACCAGGUCCAGAAUGCCAGUUUUCUUUAAGGGCAGCUGACAAUAAGAAUUGUCUAUGUAUGCACUACAGAUGCUGUUCAAUAUCUUUUCAUGAGGAAGCCUGCUCAAAAAGAUCGCCACAUUUUCUUUAGGGGAUGUUGACAUUAAUCUUUUAGGUUAAUAAUAACCUAUGCAUGCAGUACAGAUGCUGUUCAUCAUCUUUUCAU